rnacentral:lncRNA from 1 species
UCAAAAAUAAUGAUAAGAUCAAAAUAUGUAAUAGUAUGAAUAAAUUUCUCAAAGUGAAUCAAAUGAAAAAAAACCACAUGAAUGCUCAAAUAUAUCAAGAUAACCAAAUUACACAAGUUCAUCUAGAAUUUCUCAUUUUAAGUUCAAAAAUGAUUUUUCCAAAAUGAGUCAAACAAUAUGAAUAUUCAAAUAUAUAAAAUAAUUUAUGUUGAAAGAUUCCAGCUUGA